rnacentral:rRNA from 1 species
GAUGAACGCUGGCGGCGUGCCUAAUACAUGCAAGUCGAGCGAACGGACGAGAAGCUUGCUUCUCUGAUGUUAGCGGCGGACGGGUGAGUAACACGUGGAUAACCCACCUAUAAGACUGGGAUAACUUCGGGAAACCGUAGCUAAUACCGGAUAAUAUUUUGAACCGCAUGGUUCAAAAGUGAAAGACGGUCUUGCUGUCACUUAUAGAUGGAUCCGCGCUGCAUUAGCUAGUUGGUAAGGUAACGGCUUACCAAGGCAACGAUGCAUAGCCGACCUGAGAGGGUGAUCGGCCACACUGGAACUGAGACACGGUCCAGACUCCUACGGGAGGCAGCAGUAGGGAAUCUUCCGCAAUGGGCGAAAGCCUGACGGAGCAACGCCGCGUGAGUGAUGAAGGUCUUCGGAUCGUAAAACUCUGUUAUUAGGGAAGAACAUAUAUGUAAGUAACUGUGCACAUCUUGACGGUACCUAAUCAGAAAGCCACGGCUAACUACGUG